rnacentral:rRNA from 1 species
CCUACGGGGGGCAGCAGUGGGGAAUAUUGGGCAAUGGGCGCAAGCCUGACCCCGCAACGCCGCGUGAAGGAAGAAGGCUUUCGGGUUGUAAACUUCUUUUCUCAGGGACGAAGCAAGUGACGGUACCUGCGGAAUAAGCCACGGCUAACUACGUGCCAGCCGCCGAGUUAAUCCGUAGGUGGAGAGCGUUAUCCGGAUUUACUGGGUGUAAGGGGCGUGUAGGCGGGACUGCAAGUCAGAUGUGAAAACCACGGGCUAAACCGGUGGCCUGCAUUGGAAACGGUAAGUCGGGAGUACUGGGGAGGCAGACGGAAUUCAGAGUGUAGCGGUGAAAGGCGUAGAUAUUAGGAGGAACACCAGGGGCGAGGGCGGUCUGCUGGAAAGCAACUGACGCUGAGGCGCGAAAGCGUGGGGAGCAAACAGGAUUAGAUACCCUAGUAGUC